rnacentral:rRNA from 1 species
GACGAACGCUGGCGGCGUGCUUAACACAUGCAAGUCGAACGGAAAGGCCCUGCUUUUGUGGGGUGCUCGAGUGGCGAACGAGUGAGUAACACGUGAGUAACCUGCCCUUGACUUUGGGAUAACUUCAGGAAACUGGGGCUAAUACCGGAUAGGAGCUCCUGCUGCAUGGUGGGGGUUGGAAAGUUUCGGCGGUUGGGGAUGGACUCGCGGCUUAUCAGCUUGUUGGUGGGGUAGUGGCUUACCAAGGCUUUGACGGGUAGCCGGCCUGAGAGGGUGACCGGCCACAUUGGGACUGAGAUACGGCCCAGACUCCUACGGGAGGCAGCAGUGGGGAAUAUUGCACAAUGGGCGGAAACCUGAUGCAGCAACGCCGCGUGCGGGAUGACGGCCUUCGGGUUGUAAACCGCUUUCGCCUGUGACGAAGCGUGAGUGACGGUAAUGGGUAAAGAAGCACCGGCUAACUACGUG